rnacentral:lncRNA from 1 species
UUUUUUUUUUCCUCAGAUGAUCACACCCACUUUGCUUCACUUUCAUGUCCAGAGCUGCUUAGACUGAUUUCUGCAAAGUGCACAGGCAUUUUCAUGCUGAGGAUAAAGGACCAUGAUCGCUUGUCUGGACCCAGAAAAUAUUUCCCAUUUGCUACACAGAUGCCGUCUCAUCCUUCCAGAGUUCAAGACUUCAGCAGAAAAAAAAAUCACCUCAUUAAAGGAAAAUUGUGCCUUAUCCCCACUACUCGAAGAUGCAACCAUCUGCCUGGUCACAGCCACUUUUUUCCUUUUUUUCUCACUCCAUCGUAUGUGUGUGUGGUGGGGCAGGGGAUAAGGGGAAUAAUCUCUCUCCAGUAUAAGAAGGUAAUGAUUCAAAGAUUUAAAUGCUAAACUUCUGGGACUUCGGGACUUACUAUAAAACUAGAUAAGAUCAACAACAACAAAAACAAUGCUUUCUAUUGAAAUUUGUACAGUUUUGCAAGUUCAUUUCUGCUCUUCGUCUGUUGAAGCAUCAAUAAAGUCCAAGAAAAA